UCGGCCUCCAAAACUAGGGUUUCGGCGUCGCACUGCCCUAUUUAUAGAGCCGCCAUGGAAGCAUAGGGAGAGAGCUCAGAGUAUCGUUUUUCAAAAACGGCUUAGGCUCUACCCCCUGGCGGCGGCGGCUAUGUUGGUUGCAACUGUCGAUUGGUUCGGCCUCUUUCUUAGCCGGUGCUUCUCCUUCAUGCUAGGACUAAAAAGAAAAAAACAAGAAGCAGAAGAAUGGAGAGGAUUUGCAGCAGAGAGAGGGAAGAGGGUUUGCAGAAGUAGAGAAAAGAGAGUGAGAGAGAGAACAGGAACAGGAGAAAAAGAAGAGAGAUUGAGACAGUCUUCUCUUGGUCCAUUUAUUCGUUUUUCCUGUUCUUCUUCUUCUUCAGGCUUCCAGUGCUGCCGGCACUGCCUUCUGCCUGCUGUUGCUGCAACUUCUGCGACUCGCACCUGCUUGAGAUGGCUGUUGGGUGUUUGUUGUGAACUUUUUUAGAUUGGUUGGAGAGGUAUUUUUCUGGUUUCCUUCAACUGUUUGUAGUUCCGGGUUCGGGUAAAAUCUGAAAGGAUAUUUAAUUCCUUUUUUCUGGUUUCUUGGGAUUAUCCUCCUUAACCUGUCAUUCCCUGCUCAUGCCUUCGAUUCUGGAAGAAGAGGUAAAUCACAGAUGGAGACUUUACCUCACUAUGUAGGGCAAAAAAUCGAACUCACGACUUACUAAUGCAAAUCCUAAUUUAUUUGGCACUAUA